UGCAGAGAACUUUCCAGAGAUGGAUUGGUGGCCUUCGGGAACGUCUGACACAGGUGCUGCAUGGCUGUCGUCAGCUCGUGUCGUGAGAUGUUGGGUUAAGUCCGUAACGAGCGCAACCCUUGUCCUUAGUUACCAGCACGUUAUGGUGGGCACUCUAAGGAGACUGCCGGUGACAAACCGGAGGAAGGUGGGGAUGACGUCAAGUCAUUAUGGCCCUUACGGCCUGGGCUACACACGUGCUACAAUGGUCGGUACAAAGGGUUGCCAAGCCGCGAGGUGGAGCUAAUCCCAUAAAACCGAUCGUAGUCCGGAUCGCAGUCUGCAACUCGACUGCGUGAAGUCGGAAUCGCUAGUAAUCGUGAAUCAGAAUGUCACGGUGAAUACGUUCCCGGGCCUU
rnacentral:rRNA from 1 species